rnacentral:misc_RNA from 1 species
AUUUGCAAUCCACAACCACAAGAUUGGAGGAAAUGAGAGUUAAGAGGCGAGAUGCAGAGCAAUGGAUGUCUCACCGCUUGCUUCCUGAGAAUCUGAGGGAGCGGAUCAGGCGACAUGAACAAUACAAAUGGCAAGAAACCAGAGGUGUUGAUGAAGAGAAUCUGGUGCAUAAUCUUCCCAAGGACCUUAGAAGAGACAUAAAGCGUCAUCUCUGCUUGGCCUUGCUUAUGAGGGUACCAAUGUUUGAAAAAAUGGACGAGCAACUACUAGAUGCAAUGUGCGACCGGCUCAAGCCGGCACUCUACACAGAGGAAAGCUACAUCGUUCGGGAGGGAGACCCAGUUGAUGAGAUGCUCUUUAUCAUGCGAGGCAAGCUUAUAACCAUGACCACCAAUGGUGGAAGAACUGGCUUCUUCAACUCUGAAUACCUCAAGGCUGGUGACUUUUGUGGAGAGGAAUUACUGACAUGGGCCCUAGAUCCCCACUCCUCAUCUAACCUUCCUAUAUCAACCAGAACUGUUAGAACCAUUACUGAAGUUGAAGCCUUUGCUCUAAUGGCUGAUGACUUGAAAUUUGUUGCUUCUCAAUUCCGGAGGCUACACAGUAAGCAACUCCGCCACACCUUCAGGUUUUAUUCACAGCAGUGGAGGACUUGGGCAGCAUGCUUUAUACAAGCAGCAUGGCGCAGGUAUAGUAAAAAGAAGCUUGAAGAGUCUCUCCGACAAGAGGAGAAUAGGUUGCAAGAUGCAUUAGCCAAUACAAGUGGGAACUCACCGAGUUUAGGUGCCACCAUAUAUGCCUCACGAUUUGCUGCUAAUGCACUUCGUGCCCUGCGGCGUACUGGUACUCGCAAGGCAAGGUUGUUGGAGAGAGUUCCACCAAUGCUGCUUCAAAAGCCUGCAGAACCCGAUUUUACAGCUGAAGAAAGAUAGACUUGGAUUAUUAGUGGUGAUAUUUUGUGUUUGAUUGCUGUGUACAAAGUGAAAUUAGAACUAUUUCAGCCAACAAAGAAAGACAUGAUAAAUGGGUAGAGGCUUGGGAUUGCACCAUUGAUAGUCACUUUUUGUUGGCGUAAUGAGGUUUGUGCAACACAUAUCUUGUCGUAUAUGGUGAUCUACGAUUGUACUUUUUCAGCUCCUUUCGGAAAAAACAAAAAUUGUUGGUUCUUAUUUCAUCAUAUACGACAAGAUAUGUGUU